rnacentral:rRNA from 1 species
UACGGAGGGUGCGAGCGUUGUCCGGAAUCACUGGGCGUAAAGGGCGCGUAGGCGGCGCUGUAAGCGUGCGGUGAAAGCCCGGGGCUCAACCCCGGGUCGGCCGUGCGGACUGCGGCGCUCGAGCACAGUAGAGGCGGGUGGAAUUCCGGGUGUAGCGGUGGAAUGCGUAGAGAUCCGGAAGAACACCGGUGGCGAAGGCGGCCCGCUGGGCUGUGGCUGACGCUGAGGCGCGACAGCGUGGGGAGCAAACAGG